rnacentral:lncRNA from 1 species
ACUCUUGAUAAGAAACUUUAUUAAAACCUUUUUGAAACUGUAGGUACAAAAUGAAUACUCCAGGGAUGGGAACACAAACUUUUAAAAUAAAGGAAAAGUUGCGUCUGGUUGCAUGCAUUAUUUAUCCCUCCCAAAAUCAAUUUAACUUUUCAUUAUCCAAAACAGUUUUUAAUCUAAAUUAAAAGAACAAAGUAUUUCAAUCAACAGACUGAAAAAGAUUGUUUCAUUUGAGCCAUGACACAUUACAGCCCAACCCCAUGAAAAAUCUUGCAGCAGUGGUCUGGUGGAGAGAAGGAAAAUGGGGUACCACCAGAACUGGAAGACAUUGACUCAGACUUUGGGGAGGGGGAGAAGUCUGCUUCAGUGCCAUCAGACACAUUGGGUGCCACAUCACAGCUGCCUCAUGAUGCCUGGGGCACCUCCCACCCCCAAAAAACCUCCUCCCAUCAAGGAGGUGCCAGCGGGCAGAUCAGACACAAAGCCAGCCCCAUGGACUCCAGCUCCAUCGCCAAGGACACAAAGAUGGCUGCACCUGCAUGAACAAACUCAGCAAACCCAGACAGUUCAAAGGAGUGCCACUUACUUGCCCAGUCCUGUUUCUUGGAGCGCCAACCAUAUUAAUGCCAGUAUCCAUUCUGCUCUUCAAAAUGAGAGUCUGGGGGACAUGGCCCAGUUUGUGCUUAGUCAGAUAUUUUAACCUCUGCUGCAAAUGCUAACCAGUGUGCUUUGUAACCUGACUUACAUCCCAUAGUGAUCUAUGCAUUAAAGCCAUCAGCAAAACCUGAGUUGAGAACAUGAGUGCUGCAUCCACCAGUGAGAGCCAGGGGGCACACAGAAAUGAGGCUCUUGAGAGUGAAAAGGGUUAGUGAGACAGGAAUUGUUUGCAGAAGCCAUGCUGAUUUUUUCCAGCAGGACAUAUUCUUCCCAUCAGUUUUCCCAGAGCAGAUUCUCGAACUGGCCUGUAAUUUUCUCAAUUCACGCACCUGAUCCAGUUUUUUAAAAAGAGUAUUAUGUUAACCUCUUCCCAGUUCUAAUCUUUUUGCCAUACUGCCCAGAACUUUGUUUCUUGUCCCUCUUAUUUGUCUCAUUUCUUCAGAUUCAGUUUCUGAUAAUGUCACUCCAGGUACCAGUAUCUAUGCUCCAUCUCCCGCAGUAAAAACAAACGGAAAUGAUUAAAUCAGCUUCUGCACAAUCACCGUUGCUUCCUUUAGCACACCUUUAACUCCACUGCUGUCCAAAGAACCAACCACUUCUCUAGCUGCUUAUGAUGUAUUUAAGCACUUUUUAAAUUGUUGGUAUUAAUAUUUUUAGUGAAAUGCAUAGCCCAUAAAUUUACAUACUGUCAUAGCAAUAAUUAAACUCACAAACUUUAAUUGCUCAGAACUUCACAGCUUUUCUUAACUGAUUGUUGGUUAUAGUAUUCAGAUAUUUCCAUAGCAGUGAAGAGUUCUGAAAAUGUUCAAAGAAAGGGACAUCUGUUAGAAGGCACUCUUCACAAAUUUUGCAGUGCUACCAAAUCAUUACUUCUUUCUUUGACUGAUAGUCUGGCUCUAGUCAGAUCUAACAGAGCUAAAUCUCCUCUAUACUGUCCAUUAUAUAUUACUAAAUCAUUAGUUAGAUGAUUCUAACAAAUUCUAAACAACUUUAGAAUUUCUCUUAAAUGUACUGUUUUCGCUUUUUUUAAACAGCACAUAAUAAUCUCUAGUUUAUUUUCUGAAUUUUGAGGCAAUGGUUGGCAAUACAUCCCUAUGCUUGGUUUGCAUAGACAAAUUGGCUUACUUUGCUUCAGUAGUUAUACCAGGAUGUCAAAUGGAGGAUUUCUACAAACAAUAUGCUGGUACCUUACAUUUCACAAUGCGCAGAUCAUAGCAGUACAUAAAAUUAAUUAAUUAAUUAAUUAGCCACCCUUAGGCAAAGAGGCUUUCUGAGUCACUUACAAAAAUCAGUACUAAGGGAGUCCCUGUCCUAAGGCUCACAAUCUAAAACAGGAGUGAGGAACAGGUCUUCACUGGCUAUUUAUAGUGGGUCCCACUACAUGAUGACUACAAAGCUUAGUAGUUUGUUAUUUAGUACAAUUCAUGCAAUUCAAGAUAACAAAAUGAAUUCCAAUAGGGAUAAAUUUAAGGUUCUCCACUUAGGCAGGAGGAACCAGACGCACAAAUAUAGGGUGGGGGACACCUGGCUUACUAGCAGUACGUGUGAAAAGGAUCUAGGGCUCCUGGUGGACCACAAGCUUAACAUGAGUCAACAGUGUGAUGCAGAAGCAAAAAAAGCUAAUGCUAUUCUAGGCUGCAUCAACAGAAGUCUAGUGUCCAGAUCAAGGGAAGUAAAAGUCCCACUCUCUUCUGCCUUGGUCAGACCACACCUGGAAUACUGUGUCCAAUUCUGGGCACCACAAUUUAAGAAGGAUGUUAACAAGCUGGAACAUGUGGAGAGGAGGGCAACCAAGAUGAUCAAGGUCUGGAAACUAAGCCUUAUGAGGAUCGGUUGAAGGAGCUGGGUAUAUUUAGCCUGGAAAAGAAGGGCUGUCACAUGGAAGGUGGAGCCAGCUUGUUUUCUCCUGCUCUGAAUGGUAGGACUCGAACCAAUGGCUCCAAGUUACAAGAAAGGAGAUUCCGACUAGACAUGUGAAAAUACUUUCCGACAAUAAGAGCUGUUUGACAGUGGAACAGUCUCCCUCGGGAGGUUGUGGACUCUCCUUCCUUGGAGGUUUUAAAGCAGAGGUUGGAUGGCCAUCUAUCAUGGAUUCUUUAGCUGAGAUUCCUGCAUUGUAGGGGGUUGGACUAGAUGACCCUUGGGUCCCUUCCAGCUCUAAAAUUCUAUGAUUCUAUCCUCUCUAUAAGGCAUUCCACUCCCCCCCCCCCCCGCUCCACAUUAGGUUUGUAUUUCUCUUUAUUCUUUGGAAUAGCAGUGUUUUAGUGUAAUCUACUUUCUCCCUAAAGCAUACCACUAUAUGUGUUUUUCUUUUCCUGGCUUGACGUCAUUUUUGUUGUUUUCUAAAUUCCUUAGAAUGACUGCUACAUUCAUGAUAUGGAAGCUUUUAUCUGGCUGGGAGGUGGAGGAGGAUUUUUACCCUGUGUGGCUGAAAUUAACUUGUCAGAAGUUUCCAACUUUAGAAGCUUUUACAGCUCAAUUGAACCAUUAUUCAAAACUGAAUGAAGAGGCUGUAGACUAUAGAAGCUCAUGAAAAUAAAUUUCACAAGAAUGCUUGUAUCUGAAGUCUUAGCUCUAUGCCAUUAAUUUAACAGCCUCUGAAAUUUGUAUGUUAUUUAGAAAUCUACAGUCCUGUCAUUAUAUUAUUGACUAUUGAGUAUAUGUGUGUUUUUAUGUAUUGCCUUUGAAACGGUCCUAAAUUUCCUGUAUGUUCACCAGCUGGUUUUGUUGUCUCCCCUGGUAUUCUGUGCAGAGUUGGGCUUUGGCUGCAAUCCACACCUUGUUUAUUCUUCAGUACUCCACCAUGGUGUUUUGGGAGAAUCUGCUAAAAUGAAGGAAGAUGACUCCCUUCAGCCAACCAACUUUCACGGCUACUGGUCAAAAUAACCUUCAACCUGAGAAGAAUUUUUGGUCUCUCCUCAAAUGACUCUUUUGGUAAUACACCAAAGCAGGGGCACCGGAUAUAUGGGGUGCAAGGGGCCAACAUCCCCCGUCACCGCCACGUGCUCCCCACAUGCCGCAGCCCCUGCGUGGGAGCCCAGGAGCCAGGAGGGGGCUGGGAUGAGUAAGGACAAAGAUCGCCCUCCAUGGGUCCUGCCCCUGCCCGGCACAUGCCAUGGGGAGAAGGAGGUCGAGGAUGGAGCCCAGCUCAGUGUGCGAGUGUUGGCAUCACGGGGGCGGGAUGCAUCCCAUGACGUCACAUGACAUGUCACGUGAUGCACCCCCAUGUGGUGGGCAAGUUGGCAUCCCUGCACCAAAGCAUGGUAGCAGUACUGCCAGUAAGCAGAAUACUAUUUUCAUUUCAAGAAGUACUGCCACAAUGGUAAUUUAAGAAUCUGCUAAAAAAGAGGAUAUUCUGGUUCCACCAAAAGUACAGUGGCUGCCAUCCUAGGCAUGCCUACCUGGGAGUAAGCUCUAGGGAACACAGGAAAAUUCUUAGCUAACAUGCAGGCACUUGGUCUUCCAGUUUCCCACCUAAGUAAAAGAGCUGACUGCUAAACCCUGAAUGAAGAAAUCCCUACUUGAAUGUAUACGUCAAAGGGGGAAUUGGCAUGAUGGCCAUUUUUAUAGUAUUUAGACACCAUUUUUCAACCCAAUGGAAGUGACUUACAAUUAAAGUUAAAAUGCAUGGUUAUAUGACAUCUCCACGUUCUGAAGCAGUUUACUGCUCAUAUAGUAAAGUCAGUGUGGUGUAGAAUGUUGGACUAGGACCUGGCAGAGCAGGAUUUGAAUCCCCACUUAGCCACGAAGCUCACUGGGUGACCUUGAACCAGUCACCAUCUCUUAGCCCAGGAGUUGUCCACCUGGUCCCUCCCACCCACUGGUGGGCGUUUCAGGAUUCUAGGUGGGUGGUAGGGGGUUCUACGGCACAAGCUGAAUCCUCCUUCCAUCGAGCACUGGGGGGCGGUAAGGAAACUUUACCAUCAAGAAAGAUGCAUUAGAAGGUGGUAGGUAUAAAAAGGUUGACUACCCCUGUCUUAGCCUAACCUACCUCACAGGGUUGGUGUGAGGAUGAAACGAGGAGGAGAACCAUGUACACCACCUUGAGAUCCUUGGAAGAUAAAGGUGGCAUAUAAAUGCAAAAAAAAUAAAAUAAUGUUCCAUAAGAAUUGGAGAGGGUGAGCACAUUUUUAAUUAGCUGGAAGGCUUCUCAGAGGCCAGAAUGGGAAGCAGAAUACUGGAACAGAUAGACCUAAGAGUGAGGAGUGGAGUGGCUACAAACCAUCCCAUAAUAUACACCACAGUGAUAAAUGCAACACCCUCAGAGAAGCAACAAAACAAAGCAUUAAAAUCAGUAAAUGGGGUUCUUCCAUAGUGGUGGCAGUAGCGGCGUGAAGGGCCAGAUGUUACAGUAAGUCCAGACUGCCUCUUCCUUGUGUGUUGGCUCUGCUCCCUGCUUUACACAGGGCCGUCCUCUGUUUGAAGGCCUGUUUAGUCCAAGUCUGGUUAAAGAGAAGAAACCUAUUGGUAGCAUCCGGACAGCAGAGCAAGCCCACAGUUCACCCGGUCACAGUUCUUCCUCUAUGGUGAGAUAUAUUGUAAUUCUAUUACAGUGAUUUUUCUAUAUUUCUAUCUAUAUAUAUUAAAUCAGCACAUGCAGAUCUGUGCAGUCUUUUUUACUCUUUUCUGAUGAUGCGUAAGUGGCUACUUUGCUCCCAGCUGCUCAAACUGCCUACACUGCACUGAUGCAGUCUGUAUUGGCACUGAGUGUUAUCUCUGCAUACCAGGAAGCAUACCUUGCAGUGGGUAUUUCAGGCUGUGGAGGAUGGGAUGUCCUCACUUUGGCCCAAAAUGCUAAUGGUCCCUUGGCUAGCUGGCUGACCAGAUUUGGCUGGUCUUUCCUUGCAAGCAGUGGGAAUAGGAGGACCAGCAUUUAAAGUCCAAUAUGACAGUCCCUGCUAAUAGCUGUCCAGCUGACACUUAAAUAGCCUUUGCUCACACUGCCUCUUCUAUCCCUCUGGGAAUGGCUUUUGAUCAAUUGCUGCUGCUGCUGCUGCUGCUGCUGCUGCUGCUGCUGCUGCUGCUGCUGUCGUCGUCAUCCAUCUGUCUCAAGAGACAGUGGGUUGCUCCUCCACAGGUGAAGUCAAACCGCUGCGUUAGCAGCACCAAAGUGGCCUCUGCAGGGUGCAAGCCUGGGCACUGUGUAUGGAGGUCCUCAGCUGCCCAGAUGACGCUGCCCUCAGCCUUGCUGAUGUGGCCCAAAGAGAGAGCAAGACGUUUGGCACCAGCUUGGUGGGAGGAGGCAUAGAAGGGGCACAAAGCACCAUCCAACUGCCUUAGGACAUCUACUCUGGAUUUGUACAGGGUUUACUCCUUAGCCUUUUCUUCUCCCAAAGAUAUCUCACAAGGCAGUGGAGGUUUAGGAUCAGAGUUUUCCUUCUCCUAGAUGGGCUACCUAGUUGACAAGCCCUAUCUGCUCCUCAUGUCUCUCUACAGCACAUGCAGAAAUCGUCUUCUUGACCAUUGGACUCACUGUUGUUCUCAUCUGCACAAUCCACCAGAGCCUUGUCUUCACCUGCAGGGGAAGUCCCUAACUCACCAAGGGUUUGAGACCCAUCAGCUACCCUCACCUGGUUUAGCCAGCCAGUUGAAACCGUUCCUUGGGGUGUGGCUCCUGUUGCAUGCUGACAGCUCUAGGAGCCACAGGUGAGAACUGAGUGCAGGGUGGGGACGAAAGGUGGACAAACUACCCCAGAAGGAGCAUGAUGUGUCCCCCACCAGAGGUACUACCCCUCCGCUAACACCCCAUACAUCCUGGCAUUCUAUCAACCAUAUGUAAACAGGCCAGGCUGAAGGGUACUCUUGGAUUCCCCAGUUUGCAGCUCUCUUCAGGAAGAAGUCAGCUCCUGCCCCAGACUUUGCAUCUCCCUAAUGUAAAGAACUGGUUUACUUGACCAGACAGAGAAGGGGCAGAUGACAGGAAGGAAGGGUUUUAUGGUAUUAUAUUUUAUUUUUUAAUCCAUGUUAUAGCCUUUCAAAUGUUUUUAAAAACUAUAUAUUUAAAUUCUGUUUUUAAAUUGUGUGGCUUUUUUUAAAAAAAAGCAAAAAUGAAAUUAUGAAACUGAUAAACUGAGAAUGACAAAUAAUUCUCCUUUACCCACCUGUUUUCUACAGGUCUGCAGUACAAAAGCUUCCCCCACUUAUCAGCUCCUUAGACUCCUUCUUUGUGCUGUUUUGUGCGUGUGCAGCUGAGAUUUAUUUUUUUUAAGUUUGAAGAAGGUCUGCCAAGCAUAAUUAAUAUUCCUCCUCCACAUUCACAUUACCAUUUCUCCUGACAGUAAAAAUUAAAGCAUCCAGUUCUAUUCAUUCAACCCCAGCCCACGGGAAUUCAGUCACACAGGAAGACUUAUGAGGAAGCCAAAGGUUUGUAGAUCUGCAGUCAGUCAGUCAGCCAGCCAGUCAGUCAUGGCGCUGCACUCAUUCAGUUACUUUUGUGGACGAAGUGUCUCUUACUCCAUCCGGAUUGGGUGUUUGCCAGUGACACUCCUGAGCCUUGCUCAGAGAGAAUGGCAGCCUUGAGAAAGCCAUGCACUAGUGAUUCAGUUCCCCUCUUUCUUAUGAUAGGAACAGCUGCCGUAUUGUUGCCGUCUUCCUUGUACCAGGGAGCGUUGCCAUGGGCACUGCUGCCAAGGAGCACAGAGCAGUGAAUAAGAGAGGCUGUCCCCAAACCUUCAAAACUAAACCUACUUAUUAUACUGUGUAUUUUGUUUCAAAUAACCUUUUGCCAUGGAAGAAAGUUUUAUUCUUGUUCUAAACAUUGUUGACAGAUGUAUAAUUCGGCUACUUAAAUAGAUGUUUAAUAACCAGGGAGAAGAUGCCGCUAAACAUUCUACUUAACAUCAGGCUUAUUUUCUGUGAUUAUUAAAAUGUCAUUCAUUGCACUGCAUUAUCAGUUUUCACAGGACUUAAUUUGUCAAGCAUUCAAAAAGAAGAUCACACAAACAUUUUACAGAUGUGCGUGCGCAUUUGCUGAAUUCUUGCCAGUAAGUAAAAUAAAAAGUAAAUCUGGGAGAUGUUAAAGACGUCUUGCAGGUGAUAAAGAGGUUGUGGCGGAGGCAACAUCAAGCGCAUUUGCCAAGUAAAUAGCUUAUCCAGAUUAUAAAUGAAUAUUUACCCAACUGCACCAUGACCUUUAACUGAGUCUGCAUCCAAAGACACUGUUAUCAAACAAGUAAGAGUAAAUAACAGUAGGGAUAACAGUAAUGCUGUCAGCUGUGGGGAGAAUGUUAGAUGGCUAGGCAUUCCAGCACUGGAGAGUGGACCAGCUUUGGAAACAAUUAAAUUAAUAUUAAAACGUUCUUAGCAUGGCAGAACAUUGCAACACAGGAAAGGCUGUGACUUUCAGUUUAGAAGAAAGGCGGACGUGAAUGAGGUUUAUAACAUAAUUGGUUUGGAGAGAAAGAGGUUUCACCCUUUCUUAAGACUAGAACUUAGGUUCAGAAUGAAGCUGAUGGGCUGGAGCUUCAGGACAUAGAACUCAAUAGCCCAAGAGGUACAGCUACGAGGUGUUUGUUGUUGUUUGUUGUGUGGAAUUAGACAACUUCAGGGAACAUUCUGUGCUUAAUCAUUGAACAGAAAGAACGUGUGUCGGAACAGAAACAUAGGAAGCAUAAGAUGCUGCCUUAUAUCAGGUCAGAGCAGUGGCCCAUUUAGCUCACUGCCGUCCACACUGGGAGUAGCCAACAUGGCGCCCUCCAUUGAUUGGUGGGGCUACACUGUGUUCGAAGUGUUUAGAAAUGGAAGGCUUUUUAAUACAUAUGUGGUAGCUAUGUAAACAUGCAAAAAAAAAAAGGAAGAUGGUAUAUGAGGAAUUAAAAAAAAUGUUCCUUACAUUCAAAAAAAAACAACAACCCAGAAGGCUUUCUUCUAGCUAUAAUAGGAAAGGAGAAAAGAAAGGAAAGGACACAUUUUAUUUUUUGCAAUGCAACAGCAGCCCCAAUAGCAGUUUAUGCAAGAAACUGGAAAGAAAAGGUUAUCCUGACAAAAGACCAAUGGUUGCAUAAAUUACAGUGGUACCUCAGGUUAAGUACUUAAUUCGUUCCGGAGGUCCGUUCUUAACAUGAAACUGUUCUUAACCUGAAGACCACUUUAGCUAAUGGGGCCUGCCGCGCCGCCGGAGCAUGAUUUCUGUUCUCAUCCUGAAGCAAAGUUCUUAACCUGAAGCACUAUUUCUGGCUUAGUGGAGUGUGUAACCUGAAGCAUAUGUAACCUGAGGUACCACUGUAAUAGAAUUUGCAGACGGCUAAAAUAAGGAACUAGCUAGAGAGGAAGAUAAGGAGCAAGUGGUAAUGUCUUGGAGAAUACUUAAAAAUAUAUGGCAUUACUGUACAGUGGUGCCUCGCAAGACGAAAUUAAUUCGUUCUGCGAGUUUUUUCAUCUUGCGGUUUUUUUCGUCUUGCAAAGCACGGUGUCGGAAAAGUUUUGGAAAAGCUUCAAAAAUCACCAAAGUCUUCAAAAACCUCAAAAAAGGCUACCACACCACGUGCUAUGAGUUGCUCCUCGAAGUCAAGUCGCAACUGUAUUAACGGUUUUAAGAAAAAAGGAAACAAACUUGCAAGACGUUUCCGUCUUGCUAAGCAAGCCCAUAGGGAAAAUCGUCUUGCGAAGCAACUCAAAAAACCAAAAACCCUUUCGUUUUGCGAGUUUUCCGUCUUGCGAGGCAUUCGUCUUGCGAGGUACCACUGUAAAUAUAAUCUGCAAGUAGGGACAAACCUUUGAAGAGCAGUUGACAAAACAAGGGAAGUGAAGGGACGAAAUGGAGUGGAGAAACUAACGGAGAUGCAGCCAACUCAGGAUGUCACUGAAGGAUAGGAUGGGAAGUCUGCUUGGGAAGAUGGGAAGAUUAUAAAUGUAUGUAAAAUAAAAACUGGAAAUGCAUAGAUAUAAAUAAAUAAGAAUGUUUUUUGUGGGGCUACAACUCCCACCUUUCCUGUCCAUUGGCCAUGCUAGAUCAAUAUUGUCUACGGGAGUCUUUCCCAGUGCAUACCUGGAGAUGCUAGAGAUUGAAUAUGAGACCUUACACAUACAAAUCAAUUGCUCUAAAACCCUUCCCUUGUGCUGUAAUAGUACAAGAGUAACAAGAAACCUCAGUGAAAGAUUCUGCCACUGAACAUACCAGACUAGUAACAACGCACACCAAUGAAAAUUACCAAAUAGAUUUCCUAUGGUAUCUGCAAAGAUCCUGAUCUUGCUCUAUGCUGUUUCCUGCCGCUGAUUUAUAGGUGAAGUGGGAAUUGUAAUCUGCAUGGUUCGUUUAAGUAUGAAACCCAAAGAGUAUGUUUAACAUACAAUAUGACUUGAUCUUUUAAUGUGGUUUACAGAAAAUGUAGUGAGACAGUAUCCCUGUUUUAACUACUGCUUUUGGAGGAUAAGCAGCUAGAAUGUUCAGGGAAAUAGCAGACUCACUAGACUUGAAUCAAAGUUGCUAAAUGGUUGACUACAACAAAGGGAAAGGCAUUUUCUAGCUUGGAACAAGAAUGUCACUAAAUAAUCUAUGUACCAGACACAAGUGCCAAUUUAUCCCCGUGACUGUGGGUGCCUGGGGCUGUGGGUGCCAUGCAUGGCCCUGGCACCAAAAUUUGUGGGUGCCCAGCCCCUUCAUGGGGAAUGUUGGGCAUCCAGGGCCAUAGAGAGUUGGCACAUUAGAAUAUAAAGUCAGCACAGGGAAAUAAUUCCUCUUUCAGAAAUUAGAAGUUUCAAAGAUGGAGCAUUUGAGAUCAGAUUCUAUCCAGCAAGCAGGAAAUAGCUGAGAAUUAUAUAGUGGCAGAAGAAAGCUUAAAUUAAUGAUCAUGAACUGAUUGAGAUCAGCAAAGUGAAGUUAGCUGAACAGGGACAAUGAACUUCAAAAGACUUAAACAAACUGAAAAAAUGAAGUCUGUGACCAUGACCAGAAUUACAAAAGCAUGGCCUUGACCAGAAAAAUGUGUUAAAAUCCUUGAGAACCUCUUGUUUCCUUUGUGACUCGCAUUAUGUUUGGUUUACCAUUUGUUCUUAAUUUGUGUUUGAAAGUCAUUGUGAUGAAGUCCAGUUUUAAGCAUGGCUUUUGAAAAACUGAAACCAGUUGACAUACAAAGAGAAAAACAUCAGAGUUAGAAAAACUGCCAAACAACUAGUAGCGUAUGAAGGUUUGAGUUUGGGUUUGUAGAAGGUAGGACCACCCUCAAUUUAGAGAAGAGUCAAGCAUAUAAAACAAGGAAUACCAGGUGGUAAUUUCAUAGAGAUUAGCUGGCAUGUUGCCAUUUCCCCUUGGAUUAUUUAUUUUAUUAUUCUUUUGUACACCACUGUUUUGCAGCUAACAGUGAGGAUAAAGGUAAAGGUACCCCUGCCCGUACGGGCCAGUCAUGACCGACUCUGGGGUUGCGUGCUCAUCUCGCUUAAGAGGCCAGGAGCCAGCGCUGUCCGAAGACACUUCCGGGUCACGUGGCCAGCAUGACGAAGCUGCUCUGGCGAGCCAGCACCAGCGCAGCACACGGAAACGCUGUUACCUUCCCACUAUAAAGCGGUACCUAUUUAUCUACUUGCACUUAGGGGUGCUUUCGAACUGCUAGGUGGGCAGGAGCUGGGACUGAACGACGGGAGCUCACCCCGCUGCGGGGAUUUGAACCGCCGACCAUACGAUCGGCAAGCCCUAGGCGCUGAGGUUUUACCCAUAGCGCCACCCGCGUCCCUAACAGUGAGGAUAGCUAACAAAUAAUAAAGCACAAUAAAAAUACUAAAAAUAGCAAAAUUCCAGCAAUCAGACUAAAACAUGUCACAGUAUAAAAACAAAGCAAUUAAAGCAGUAGUUCAAUCACACACACACACAAAUAGACAAUCUAAUUUUGCUCCAAAAACCUGGAGAAACAAGGAAGAUUUUGCCCAGCACCAAAGAGUAAAAAAGAAGGCAUUAAGUAGAUCUCCUUUAAGGUGGUUUUCCACACUCAUGUUGCAACUACAGAAGAAGGCCUUCUCCCUGAUAGCUACAGGUGGGAUAUCCUCCAGAGAAGGACUUUCGCAGAAGGUAUAGAAGGUAUAGUGGAAUAUAGCUCGGCUACAUUCUGCUCAGAAUGGUCACCCACUGCCGACAACCCAGUAGCAACUGUGUUAUGAACCAGCUGACUGUUCCAAGCAUGUGUAGCCCCAGGAUAGCAGGACCUAAUUUCCUGGACUCACUGAGCAGACGGUUUGGUUUGUGGGCGGCUCGUGGGCCGGUUAAAUGACCCCCGUGGGCUGCUUGUGGCCCAUGGGCCUUAGGUUGCCGACCUCUGUGUUAUCAGAAUCACAAAGCCCCAGGCAGGAAAAGCCAUCUCCAGAGUGGAAUGCAACCCAGCCUGAACAAGUAAACUGUGCCAGCCAUGUUUUAACAACCAAAGGAUAUGUAAAUACUUUCUUUAGCCUGUGUGAGACAGGUGUGGGGACCUGUGAUUGACAAGGGCGUGUCUGAAUUUUCUUCCUGACACCACUCCUCUUCUGUGACAUAUCUGUGAGGUUUUGAUGACACUGUUGGAAAUGUAUUAUGGGAAAUUAUGGGAACUUUUAAAACUUCAUGUAACCUUUGUUCUGGGCUGCUGCUUCUUUGCUUGCCUUAGAGGUUGGGACCUUUGGUGCAACAAAUAAAGAUCAGGCCUAUUGGCCACUGAUUUGCUUCUUCAUUACUUGGCUGAAGCCUCUUGUUUUCUGACUGAUCCAAAAUCCUCAGGGCUAGACUAUAGCGAAGUUGGGAAAUACUUAAAGUAGUGUAGCCCAAGUUUUUUUUGUCCUUUUCACACCUUAACACCAAAAUUAAGCAGGAAAGCUUUUCCUGGGCUAUACCAUUCCAGUCUACAGAUGGGAUGGGGGGCAGCAUCUUGGGAUGCUUCUCUAAACCUUUCUGACACACAGAGUAAUAGAAUGUCAGGCUAGCCUCCCGUGGUGGGGGGGGGGGAAUCCCCCCAAGAGGAAGCAAUCCUGCACUUCACAUCUAAAGUGAAUACAGUUAAGUGAAAGCCAUGUCGCUUGAUUCUUCUGAUGAACUGGAUAAAUCAUCCUGCCGGUUGGGGGUUGGAAUGGGACACUAGCAUUAAUACAAUUAUAUACCAACAAAUGCAUUCAAAGGGGUCGCAGACACUGUGAGAGAAACGAGACACUGCAAGCUGAGGAAGGAGGCAAAACAUGAAUACAAAUUCUAGUCCAGAAAGAUGCUUCUCCUAAAAGUCAAUUAGCCUCAGCAGCUUUAUUAAAAUAGCAAUAAAUAUAAAAUGCUAAUAAUAUGGACAAGCCAAAUCAAAGCCCCAGUGUGACGACCUUCCUAAAUGCAUUUAAUUCCUUCCUUUUUUUAAUCACCUCGAAUCACCUUCUGAAUGCGUGCAAGAGAAAUGCAUGACUUUGCAUUAAGUUAAAACUUUCCCUCGGGACAUCUGAGUAAUGAAUGGGAAAGCUCUCUUCAUUCGGCUCCUUUCCCCAUAAAUCAGCUGAGAAAUUAUUUCUCUCUUUUUUUCUUUACUCUGUCUUGCUGGCCAGAGGCACCUCUGUGAUUGAUAGCACUGACUGGCACUUGUGCUUUUUCUAGUUACAAUGUGCAGCUCCUAUGACUGUGCACAAUGUUCACUCUUGUCUAUUUGACAACAAGUGCUUAAUGGGGAGAAAACAGGUAGCCUGCACUCACAUUUUCAUAAUUGCAAAUGGGUGGAAGUUAACUAAGUCUUACUCAGAGUGGACCCACUGAUUUUUAUGAUCAUGACUAAGUUAGUGUAAUGUCUGGCAGGCAAGCAAGUCCCGAUAAGAAGUAAUGACUCUCCAGCAGUUUUGUGUACAUUUAUUUUCAACAAAACACAUUCUCGCCUCCUCGCAUUGAUGAUAGUUGGUCAGUCUGAAUCUUCACCCCUCCCACAGCAGGAAGGACGCCAAACUCCCACCUUUCCCCUCUUGACCUUCUGCUGCCCUCUGAUCUUGUCCAGUCUCCUAGAACGGGGACUGAGAGGCUGGCCUUCGCCCUCCCCACUUUCACCUGACACAGUCUCAGACCUCUGCUUAUCUGCUGAUUGCCUAGCAACUCUCUGGCUGCCUUCUAACCCUCCUGCUUCUUGAGAGCUAACAGUGUCUUCUUUGGGAAGGGGGGUCAAACUGUCCUUUCUCGGCUCUGUCAGCCAGCUCUCAUUUACAGAGUCAGUCCCUCUUUCACUUAGCUCAGUUUCUGAGUCUGACUCUUCCCCUGCGCUCUGGUGAGCCACAUUCCUGACAGUUAGGGCCUUUAAUUUCACUUUGUCUACUCUGAGUAAAAUGUAGCUUCAUACCACGCAAUGAUUUGAAGGCUGCACUCCUAUACUCACUUACCUGGAAAGUGUGUCACACAUACUUUCCAGGUAAGUGGGUAUACACACACACGAUUGUUCUAUUAGGCUCUAUGUUAACUAACUUAUUAUCUAUCCUGUCGCAGCUCAGGGCAAUAAAGUAUUUUAAAGCAUACAAACACAACCAAAAACUUUGAUUGAAUAGCUAUUGUGACUCAGUAGUUUAGUUGUGUCAGUUCUUCGCUCUCAGAUUACAUCCAAGCAGACCAAGGGUUCAAAUUCCACCAUUCCUCUAAUGUUGGCAGCCAGCACAGGCAUCUGCAUCUCACAAAAUGUUUGGUGGAGUCAGUAGUAGGCAUCAUGCAUUCACUUUCUGCAACCAUUUGUGUUAUGUACUGAAGUUUUCACCCUGGGCCAGCAGGGGGAUACUGUAGAUAGUUAUGCAAAUAAGGGAUCGAAAGUGACGUUCACUGAUUGGAUAGUUUUAGAAAAUUGUUACAGUUACGUUGUACUGGAGCUCUAUAUAAGCAGGCUGACUGAAUCCUUCAGUUCAGUUCUGUCCUGGCCUGUGAAUAAACAAGAGCUGUUUGAAGAAUCACUGUGUCGUCUGAUAUGUUCACCCACAACUUAACAGGCCCCACUUGGCACAAUGACCAGGACCCCUCCCCCCAAGUUAACUAGGCUGGCGUACCACAUUUUAAAUUUCAUUCUGAAAACUCAGUACGCUAAAGAAUUUUAUUUCAUUUUCAAAGGGGAUGAGGAAGGGAUGUAUGUACGAAGACACUCUUGGGAAAUUUCCCAAUGCUCCAGAUAUUUUGGAUGUGUUAGACUAGGACCUGCAAAAGCAGGGUUCAAAUCCCAACUCAGCCAUGAAGUCCACUGGGUGACCUUGGGCCAGUUCCUCUCUUUCUCUCAGCUCAACACAGAGUAACACAUGAAACCGGUCCAUUCAGUUCAGUAUUGUCUACACUACUGGUCUUCAGCUGGUGGGUUGGCACCCACUAACAUGCUGCAGCCCGAUCCAAGGUGGGUUGCAACCAGAGAGCUACCACCCUGCCAAUAUAUGGGAAAAGAUUAAGAAAUGGGUCCCCAAAUGCAUGUAUGAUUCAAAGUAGGUCCUGGGUCUUCAAAGGCUGAAGAUACUUGGUUUGCGCUGAUGGGCAGCAGCCCUCCAAGAUUUCAGGCAGGAUCUCUCCCAGUCCCACCAGGAGAUGCUGGGGACUGAACCUGAUGCCUUCUGCAUGCUAAGCAGUUGUUCUACCACUGAGCUAUGGCCCUAGCUCACCAUAUUGCUGUCAGGAUAAAAUGGAGAAGGUGGAGGCUGAAGUGUGUAUGCUCUGUGGAGGAAAGGUGGGAUAGAAGUGUAAGAAGGAAUAAAGUAUGUCAACUAGCCUAGAAGUGAAUCAACUACAGUAUAUUUUUAACUUACUCUCCUAAUAAUUUGUAUAUAAAUUAUAAAAGUGGUAUAUAAAUUUUGUUAAAUAAAAAAGGGGAAAUGUUCAGACUUUCAAACAGUGUAUUAUGCCUGAGCCUUCAUUGCUGAAACUCCCAACAGCAUUUUCAUGCUCACAAACACCUGAUGAAGGAACCAUUGUGACAUAACCCAUUCAAGGAGAUAUAAGGGGCAACAGGCUGUCAACAGUGGCAGUAGUUGGGAGCUCCCUGCUAUUAAAAAGCCACAGGAAGUCUUUUCGUACUGCCUGAGGAAUUAAUCCCUUAUUUAACGUUCAGAAUUGCUGGAUCGAUUGAACAGGACUGGAGCUAACAUUUGCUUGGAUUUGGCACCAUUGAUAGGGAACUGCCUGCUGCGUCCUCCGCUUUGAAGUCACCCUGGUCUUUGGGCCUCCAGCACCUUCUUCAGCAUGUCCAACCCAUCUAAGAGGCGUAUGAUAAUGGUGUUCUACUGGGUUAGGAAGACGCCCCUGACAGAGAAGCCGUGCUCUACCACCUCGGCCAGACCUUCUGCCUCUGCACCGGCUUGCAACACUCCUCACAUUUCACCCUACUUCACGAGGAGCAAGACACAACCCGCUCCGCUCAGGAGGUCCAGCAGGCGCAAGGUGCCGCGAUUGCCGAAUCUCACCGACCCCAAGUUUUUAAGAUCGGUCAUUGGCAGCGUUGGACGGAAGAGAGCCCGCAGGUGUGGCAAGCAAAAGAAGACUCCGAGACUUCCAGUUUAACCGCGGACAUCAUAGAAGCGCGGAAAAACCUCUCUGAGGCUUUCUGAGCGGCGCGGGGGCUCUGAGGGUGGCGCAAGGGCACUGCGCACCUCCAAACCUCAAGGGGAUCAUCUUUGGGGGACAGGGGCACCCAGCGGCGCCACAGCUGCUCCCCUGUUUUCUCGGGGGUUUUUUUAAAGGCCCGAGAGCGGGACGGAGUGGCAGGCGUGAAAGGGAAAGCACCACCACCCCCGCGCUGUGCUGUCUCUAGAAAUGUAUAGAAAUGAAGAAGAAACUGUAAGAGAAGAUGUAUAUUAAGAAAACCACAACUGGGAAGGAAGGAAGUCGAGGCGUGAUUUUACGCAAUGUAAAUAAGAUGAUAUUAAGAAUGAUUGUAAAGACUGUUUUAUUUUGUUUGUG